GGCUUCAUAGAUAGUCUUGCAUUGUUUUGGUUAUUUUAAACUGUUUUGUAUUUUUUGUAAAUUGUGAUCCCAAAACAGUAGUUUGAAGCCACUGCUUAUGACCAGUUUUUCAUUAAUUUAUUAUCUGUCAGCUGAACUUUUCCUCAAGUUGUGAUGUGCUACCCCUUUUGAAAUAAAGAAAAUAUAAAACAUUGUUAUUGUGGUAUCUUUGUCAUAUGAAUCAUAGGUUUCUUUGGCACAACAUCUAGGGUUAAAUUAAGCUUUUGGCUUCUAUUUGUGGCCAAACAUGUGGUUUUGUUAAGGAGGAUUUGUUAUUUUCCAAAGUUUACUUGAUAUUCUCUCUGUUAUUCUCUUAGAAGUUAAAAAUGGGGAAACUCGCUAGUUCUUUGCUCAUCAGUUACCGUACGU
rnacentral:lncRNA from 1 species